UGGGGAAUUUUGGACAAUGGGCGAAAGCCUGAUCCAGCAAUGCCGCGUGUGUGAAGAAGGCCUUCGGGUUGUAAAGCACUUUUGUCCGGAAAGAAAUCCUUGGCUCUAAUACAGUCGGGGGAUGACGGUACCGGAAGAAUAAGCACCGGCUAACUACGUGCCAGCAGCCGCGGUAAUACGUAGGGUGCAAGCGUUAAUCGGAAUUACUGGGCGUAAAGCGUGCGCAGGCGGUUUGCUAAGACCGAUGUGAAAUCCCCGGGCUCAACCUGGGAACUGCAUUGGUGACUGGCAGGCUAGAGUAUGGCAGAGGGGGGUUAGAAUUCCACGUGUAGCAGUGAAAUGCGUAGAGAUGUGGAGGAAUACCGAUGGCGAAGGCAGCCCCCUGGGCCAAUACUGACGCUCAUGCACGAAAGCGUGGGGAGCAAACAGGAUUAGAUACCCUGGUAGUCCACGCCCUAAACGAUGUCAACUAGUUGUUGGGGAUUCAUUUCCUUAGUAACGUAGCUAACGCGUGAAGUUGACCGCCUGGGGAGUACGGUCGCAAGAUUAAAACUCAAAUGAAUUGACGGGGUCAUAGCUG
rnacentral:rRNA from 1 species